rnacentral:rRNA from 1 species
GACAGAGGGUGCAAACGUUUGUUCGGAAUUACUGGGCGUAAAGCGUGCGCAGGCGGCCUUGCAAGUCGGGCGUGAAAUCCCACGGCUCAACCGUGGAAGUGCACUCGAAACUGCUUGGCUAGAGUCUUGGAGAGGAAGGCGGAAUGCUUGGUGUAGAGGUGAAAUUCGUAGAUAUCAAGCGGAACACCGGUGGCGAAGGCGGCCUACUGGACAAUGACUGACGCUAAAACACGAAAGCGUGGGGAGCAAACAGG